CGCCAGACUCCUACGGGAGGCAGCAGUGGGGAAUAUUGCGCAAUGGGCGAAAGCCUGACGCAGCGACGCCGCGUGGGUGAAGAAGCGCCUCGGCGCGUAAAGCCCUGUCAGCAGGGAAGAAAAUGACGGUACCUGAAGAAGAAGCCCCGGCUAACUACGUGCCAGCAGCCGCGGUAAUACGUAGGGGGCAAGCGUUAUCCGGAUUUACUGGGUGUAAAGGGAGCGCAGGCGGCGCGUUAAGCCUGGUGUGAAAGCCCGCGGCCCAACCGCGGGACUGCAUUGGGAACUGGCGCGCUGGAGUGCCGGAGGGGUAGGCGGAAUUCCUAGUGUAGCGGUGAAAUGCGUAGAUAUUAGGAGGAACACCAGUGGCGAAGGCGGCCUACUGGACGGUGACUGACGCUGAGGCUCGAAAGCGUGGGGAGCAAACAGGAUUAGAUACCCCUGUAC
rnacentral:rRNA from 1 species